GGAACGGCAGGGAUGGCAGAGGAAGCAAGCUGAGAAGCCUUGUGGAGAAAAGGAUUCUGGCAUCUACUUGAGACCAGCUAAGACAUCCAGAUUCACAGACUGAACAACCCCUGGAUUCUUGGACCUUCCAUUGAUGGACAGCCAUUGUUGGGCUAGCUGGACCAUAGCCUGCAGAACAUGGCAGCGUGCAAGCCGACAUGGGGCUGGAGAAGGAGCUCAGAGUCCUACAUCUGAAGGCAACAGGAUGUGAACGGAGACGCUGGGCAUUGUGUGAGCAUAUUUCGGACCUCAAAGCCCACCCCCACAGUGUCACACUUCCUCCAACAAGGCCACACCUAUACCAACAAAGCCUUGACUCCUGAUAGUGCUACUCCCUAU
rnacentral:lncRNA from 1 species